rnacentral:rRNA from 1 species
CGAGGGAGGGUUGCUCGGGAGCUUGCUCCCGGGUCCAACUCUACCGGCGAACGGGUGAGUAACACGUGGGCAACCUACCCCGAAGACGGGGAUAACCUCGGGAAACCGGGGCUAAUACCCGAUACCCUGUGCGGGUCGCAUGGCCUGCAGAGGAAAGGGUUCCGAAAGGUUCUGCUUCGGGAUGGGCCCGCGGCGUAUCAGCUAGUUGGUGGGGUAACGGCCCACCAAGGCGAUGACGCGUAGCUGGCCUGAGAGGGUGGUCAGCCACACUGGGACUGAGACACGGCCCAGACUCCUACGGGAGGCAGCAGUUGGGAAUCUUGGGCAAUGGGCGAAAGCCUGACCCAGCGACGCCGCGUGCGGGAUGAAGGCCUUCGGGUCGUAAACCGCUGUCAGGGGGGAAGAAGCCGGCUUGCCGGUGACGGUACCCUCAGAGGAAACCCCGGCUAACUACCUGCCUUCAUCCGCGGUGAGACCUAUGGGGCGAGCGUUGGCCGGAUUUACUGGGCGUACGGCGCUUGCACGCGGUUUCUUCCAUUGCGUGUGAAUCCCUUCUGCUGCCCCCAAUGAGAGUCCGGGACACGGCUGGGUUUGAGUGUGGUAGAGGGUGGUGGAAUGCCAGCUACGCCUCAUCGCCUUGGUGGGCCGUUACCCCACCAACUAGCUGAUACGCCGCGGGCCCAUCCCGAAGCAGAACCUUUCGGAACCCUUUCCUCUGCAGGCCAUGCGACCCGCACAGGGUAUCGGGUAUUAGCCCCGGUUUCCCGAGGUUAUCCCCGUCUUCGGGGUAGGUUGCCCACGUGUUACUCACCCGUUCGCCGGUAGAGUUGGACCCCGGAGCAAGCUCCC